rnacentral:rRNA from 1 species
UACGUAGGGUGCAAGCGUUAAUCGGAAUUACUGGGCGUAAAGCGUGCGCAGGUGGUGAUGUAAGACAGAUGUGAAAUCCCCGGGCUCAACCUGGGAACUGCAUUUGUGACUGCAUGGCUAGAGUGCGGCAGAGGGGGAUGGAAUUCCGCGUGUAGCAGUGAAAUGCGUAGAUAUGCGGAGGAACACCGAUGGCGAAGGCAAUCCCCUGGGCCUGCACUGACGCUCAUGCACGAAAGCGUGGGGAGCAAACAGG